GUCAUGAUGUACCGCAGACCAAUGGCAACAUGAGCGACGUCACGCAUCGUGCCAACGCGCGCGCGCGCUCACUCGGUCGUCCGCUGCAUGCCGAAACGUAAUCGUGUAAGCAAUAAGCAAACGAAACGAAACGAAAACGCGCGCAGCGCGUCGUCGUCGUGUCGAGAGUUGUUCCCAGCACCAGCCAGCAGAGCCAGCCAGCCAACUAUCGACAGCGUGGGGUCUGUUGACACGUUGCGCGUUGCCGCAAUUCGGCGCAGUUUUACAUCUGUCAAAAUUCUGCAAAUGAAGUUCAAGAACAUUCGAGAUGACGCAUAUCCCAUGUCCGGCAUGACCAACAUAGUAAAUUCCGUAUAAACACAGCCGCAGCAGUUACACGGGCAGUUUUUGUGUUUGGGUGCGGGUGGGAGGAGUGCUUUCACCGCCGCCGCCGCCGUUACCGCCGCCCGGGACACGACGUAAGCUCCGCACUCGCCGCUUCCUCGGAUCAAUACCAGCGGUUGAGCAUCAUGCAAUGUGACGCAACAAGCCCACCACCGCCGCCGCCGCCGCCACCAUGCACACGAAAGUGGAGCGUUCGCCGAUAACAGCGUGUAAAAAUACACGCAUCAUGUUUGAAAAAGCACGGAAUGCCCCAUUUAUUGCAUGCCACCGUAGAUUUUUGCCCCAAACCGAGUCAACUCGUUCAUUUAUUCAACAACAGUGAUAAGGUAUCACAGCGCACACGUAAAAGUAUAUAGAUAUUAGUUUACAUAUUGGACUUGGAAUUAGAAUUGGAGUAGUUAUCAGCCGUCGAAGUCGUGGCUGGCAGUGAUAACAACUUAUCAGUUGUACCAAUAUAUGCAUCGGUUGACAUUUUUAGACCACUGCAAAACCCACAACAUAAGUUGAUAUGAAAAAAGCAGCCGGCUGCUUGUAACUAAAAUAAUCUCUCAUUUAGGUUGAUUGUAUUGUCUCAGAGACACGUGAUUCAUUCGUGCCACCACUCACGUCACAUCACGAGCGCUUCACGGACAUGUUUUAACAAUUGACGUAACAACUCUGCUCUGCUCUCUGCAGUCAAGGGUGAUAGGCUUCUCUCAGUUAGUAAACAUUUCCAUACAACUCGGCAACAGAAUGUGUACCGUCUUAUCACUACGGUCCGGUUUCGUCAAAAUUUAUAAUAUUCAUGUCACAGUAUCCGAGUUUUGAUUUCGUUCUGACCCCGAAUGUGUGUUAAGUAAACAGACGCGCACACGCAUCCGAAUAUAGAGAAAAAAGCGCUCUGGAUGUGAUGACCGAUGCAUUCACUGGCGACGUAAACAAGCAAUACUAAUCGCUGGCAGACGAAAAAACGAACCGUUUUUAGCAGAGGAAUGAAAGUCGGUUACCAGUGGUGGUUAACAAACAACAGUUUGGCCAUGUGGGUGCCCACAUCAUGCGCACUCAUCUCAAAGUCCAGCAUCCGCAGGCGAACGAGUAAAAAUAAAAACGAUAUCAAAUUGAAGUCAUGCAGUCAGUGCAUUCGCAGACGCGUCGGGUCGAUACGAGAUCAAGCAUCAGCGCGCCGCGCGACGCUCGCCGGCGAGGGUGCAGUGAACGCGCAGUUAUCGAUCGCCGGGGUCGGGCCGGAUAGUCACAGAGUGGGAAGAGAGGUCGGACCCUCCUAGCCAUGAGCAACCAGCAUUACACCGCAUGCACAAACUGCAUCUAGUACAUAAAUAAUCUGUUAGAACAAAGCAGUGAAACACUCACACAGAUGACAGUCAUGUUGCUGAAACAUUCAACAAACUAACUUCAGGGGCUACAAUACACGAAACAAAUAGUAAAUUCAUAAUUAGAGUUCAUUAAGGCAUUAAAUAACAAUAUUUUGGAUGUUUAAACUCAAUAAGUCAUAGUUUCAUUCACUGCGCAUGUCAGAACAAAAUGGCUGCGUUUCAAGUGUCAAAUUGACAGUUUUUCAUAGUUUUUCAAGUAUUAAACUCGAAAAAAAAUUGCGACAUGUUCAACAAACUCAAGAUUUGCCAGUUGCAACAUUGAUGUUCAAUAAUUGCGUCAUUGCUAAGUGAUAACAGGUGUAAAUAUGAUAAGAGACAGUUCUACCAUUAUUAUCUGCAUCUGCUGUAUAUUUACACUAAACUAACCUAACUUUUUUACAAGUUAAAAAAAGUUAAUGAAGAGUUUGCGGUUUCUGAUGUUUCCAUCUGCACAAAA